UACAGAGGGUGCAAGCGUUUGUUCGGAAUUAUUGGGCGUAAAAGCGCGUGUAGGCGGCUUAGCAAGUCGGGCGUGAAAGCCCUCGGCUCAACCGAGGAAGUGCACCCGAAACUGCUGAGCUUGAGUGCCGGAGAGGAUGGCGGAAUUCCCCAAGUAGAGGUGAAAAUUCGUAGAUAUGGGGAGGAACACCGGUGGCGAAGGCGGCCAUCUGGACGGUAACUGACGCUGAGACGCGAAAAGCGUGGGGUAGGCAAAACAGGAAUUAGAAAACCCC
rnacentral:rRNA from 1 species